CAGCUCUUUACUCUCGUAGCUCAGCCAGUGGGAGCGUGUUAUAGCUGUCUUUCUCCUGUAGUCCGGUGAGCAGGAAUGUGUUAUAGCUCUUUCAUUCCAGCCGCCCACAGCUGAGUGAGUUCCAAGUUCUUGUCCUGUGACCAAGAGGAAUAAGGUGUGUGGACACUGGAGAGUAAGUAAGGCAGAGAAGAAUUUUAUUGAGCGACAGAAGGAAAGCCCUCAACUGUGAAAAGGGACCCUGAAAGUGGGUUGUCAUCUGUGAGGCUGAGUCUGGGCUUGUCUGGGUUUACAAUGGGAGAAUGUGUGCUGAUUGGUCCAUAGGUGUUCUUUGAAAAAAUCACCAUCCAAUUGGUUAAAAAGCAUCAUCCGGAAGGAACCAAUCAAGAGAGAGAAGGUGUUUCCUCAAGAUUCUUUUGAUCAUCUAAUGUUAG
rnacentral:lncRNA from 1 species